rnacentral:piRNA from 5 species
GGGGGUGUAGCUCAGUGGUAGAGCGCGUGCUU